CCCACCCCCGCCCCCAUCCCCCCACACGGCGUUGACCUCAUCGCUACCGCUCCCGACGGCGACCCUUCCCACCUAUCUCCGAUGACGGGUGAAGGCCGCGCAUCACCAAACAGCGAGCCCUACCCACAUACGGGAGCGGGGCUUGGUUUGGUGAUUUGAGCGGUCCCCGCCAGAUCUGGUGGGGCAGCGCUGUCGCUACGUCGAUCCUGAGAUCCACUGAUGGAUUCGGGAGGCGGAGGAGCGUCAGACCAGGAGAUUCAGGAGCUGAUGGCGGAGCUCUCGCACCGGGAAAGGACGACGGCGCGUGCGGCGAGGAGGGUGGAGACUCCGAAUCGCAAAGUGGCAACAUUGAGGAUGAAUUUGGCAUUGCACGCAAUGUCUAGAACCACGGAGUUUGGAGCGAGAGAGCAUAUUUGCGAUGGGGCGGCCUAUCACCCCCGACCUGAUCCUAUCCUGGGCCGCGGAAGAGGAAGUGUCCUACUCAAGGAUACAUAGAAGGAGAUGGAGACUGUUCCGGGUCGAGGUGAUCUGGAUGACAUAUAGAAGGAGGAAAUUAAGGUCAGACAGAGAUCCAGGGAGAAGGAGAUCUUGGAAGGUGAACUGAACACUAGGUACUUCAAGGUUGUGGCUAACCAAAAGAGGAGGAAGAAGCAGAUAAAUGUACUGGAAGGCAGCUUAGGACCUGUAGAAGACACCAAAGGAUGCAGGCUAUUUGGCGAAAAACUGCGUCGAACCUUUCUUCGUGGGAAUUCCUAUCCUCAGGUCGUGCCAGAACCGAGCUGGAAGAAUGGUCAAGGGAGUUGGAGCAACUGGCGAGGAGCCCCCCUCUCUUGAUGUGGUCAAAUCCUAGCUGAAGUGAAACAGUGCUCACUAAAGAUAUCCUGGUAGGUGGGGGAAUUUUGAUAUAUUAGGCUCCCCUGUACCUAGGCAGAUGUGGUGUAAAAAAAGACUUGGUGAACUUGCGUUAUUUGUAAUAGGCUAGGCUAGCUAGCUCUGGUUUCUGUACUUCUUUUGUUUGGCGUGUAUGUUUGCGCUGAGGCUGAGGCAGUGUGUCUACCGUUCCUCCGCGUGCUACUUAUGUAAGGAUCGGAACUCUGUGUUUCAUUUCUAAAAUGGAAUGGAGUUGGGGCAUGCUGCCCUUUUCUUCUUCUUUUUUUCGGUGUAAGAUAGAAUAAGGCACUAUAUAUAGUUUUCG
rnacentral:rRNA from 1 species